UACGGAGGGUGCAAGCGUUAAUCGGAAUUACUGGGCGUAAAGCGCACGCAGGCGGUUUGUCAAGUCGGAUGUGAAAUCCCCGGGCUUAACCUGGGAACUGCAUUCGAUACUGGCAAGCUUGAGUCUUGUAGAGGGGGGGAGAAUUCCAGGUGUAGCGGUGCAAUGCGUAGAGAUCUGGAGGAAUACCGGUGGCGAAGGCGGCCCCCUGGACGAAGACUGACGCUCAGGUGCGAAAGCGUGGGGAGCAAACAGG
rnacentral:rRNA from 1 species